rnacentral:rRNA from 1 species
AACUAUGUGCCAGCAGCUGCGGUAAUACAUAGGUCGCGAGCGUUAUUCGGAUUUAUUGGGCGUAAAGCAAGCGCAGGCGGACAGAUAAGUUUUGUGUUAAAAGCAGUUGCUCAACAAUUGUUUGCGCUGAAUACUGUCUGUCUAGAAUACGGUAGGAAGUUUUGGAAUUGAAUAUGGAGCGGUGGAAUGUGUAGAUAUAUUCAAGAACACCAGAGGCGAAGGCGAAAACUUAGGCCGCUAUUGACGCUUAGGCUUGAAAGUGUGGGGAGCAAAUGGGAUUAGAUACCCCAGUAGUCCACACUGUAAACGAUGGAUAUUAGAUGUUGGGGCUUGUGCCUCAGCGUUGUAGCUUACGUAUUAAAUAUCCCGCCUGGGUAGUACAUAUGCAAAUAUGAAACUCAAAGGAAUUGACGGGGACCUGAACAAGUGGUGGAACAUGUUGCUUAAUUCGAUAAUACACGAAAAACCUUACCAAGGUUUGACAUCCCCCGCGAAGCUAUAGAAAUAUAGUGGAGGUUAUCGGGGUGACAGGUGGUGCAUGGCUGUCGUCAGCUCGUGUCAUGAGAUGUUUGGUUAAGUCCCGCAACGAGCGCAACCCUACUCUUUAGUUAAUUGUCUAAAGAGACUGAACAGUAAUGUAUAGGAAGGUUGGGAUCACGUCAAGUCAUCAUGCCCCUUAUGCCUUGGGCCGCAAACGUGUUACAAUGGCGAGUACAACGUGCCGCAAACCAGCGAUGGUAAGCUAAUCACUAAAAGCUCGUCUCAGUCCGGAUAAAAGGCUGCAAUUCGCCUUUUUGAAGUUGGAAUCACUAGUAAUCCCGUGUCAGCUAUAUCGGGGUGAAUACGUUCCCAGGUCUUGUACAC